CCACCAAUAACAACAACAAAAGAAAAAGCAAAAUAAAACCUGGAGUAAGUCCUUUAGUUAAAUACUUGUCAGAGGUAUUUUUGCUGGUUGGAAAACAAAACAGAUGCAUAUACAAUGCUACACAUAUACAAGAAGGGCCUGCAGACCCACUGAUUCAUUCAGGUGUCAAAGUAUAGUGUAUUGGGUAUUACUAUUUGUCAAUAAGAAUGCCUAGCUGACCAGCAAGCCCCAGAGAGCCUCCUGCCUCCUUUUCCCAGCACUGGGAUAACAGAUGGGCACCCGAACACUUGGCUUUUUUGCCUCUGUGGGUUCAAGGGAUAACACCUGGGUCCUUAUGCUUACGUGGUGAGCACUUUACUAACUGAGCCAUCUCAUCUGUUGCCAACAAUCUUGUCUGGAAAAGAAGCACCAACCUUCAGGUAGGAAAUUUAAACUGAGCAGUUCCUCUAAGUUGUUAUUCGGAAAAUCAGUCUUAGCUCAAAUAAAAAAGAGCUAGAGCUGAAGAAGGCUCUGCUUACUAAAAGGCUCUGAAAAUGGAAGUGCCGCAUUUAGCAGAUAAAGGUGCAUGACUGUCCACUUAGAUGGGGUUAACUUUUUAGCAAUAUGUAGGACAUAACUGAUAAUCCAUUAUCUAAAGCACAGAUGUGCAUAUGCAGCUAAUUCUGUAUCUGGCAACAACUGUAGACAGUUCUACUUUAACAGUAACACCAGAGAGAUCCUUACUUAAAAAAAAAAAAAA
rnacentral:lncRNA from 1 species